GGGGUUGUGGCUCAGUGGUAGAGCACUCGCCUAGCACAAGCGAGGCCCUGGGUUCUAUCCUCAGCACCACA
rnacentral:tRNA from 1 species